rnacentral:lncRNA from 1 species
UGGGAGUGUGUAGAGAAUUUCAGGCAAAGGAUACUAAAUAAUAUAAGCAAAUGUGUCCCCUGAGGAAAUGCAGUGGCUUAAGAAUAAAGAAAAGAAGGAAACAGUACUUUGCUAAGGCUUUCUUUGCAUGGUCUCUGGCUCUCAGGCACAUCUUGUUCUCUUUUUCCUUUCAGCACUUCAGGAGUCUCCUUGGAGGUUUGAGAAGACAGUUUUGCUGGAUGUGGAUUUUUCACUCCCAGCACUUUCAGUUUCAGGGGCCACCUCUGCCGCCCCUGCCCCCAGGAGGAAGUGCAGGAUUCCACCUGUUAGUGGAGGCUGUCAGCCUCUGAUCUUGUGCUCCCUGUGGAUGCUGUGUGGGCCCCUGAAGCUGCCUGAGGCCCCACG